GAGCGCCACAUGCCUUGUACAAGCCAACGGAGUGGUCGAACCUUUAAUGUACCGGCUGUCACGCCAGUGGCAUCGUCGGGUAGCGAGGUUCGCAGGAGAUACCGCUGAAAGCAUCGGGCGGGAAACUCGCCUCA
rnacentral:ncRNA from 1 species